GGAGUCCAGCGUGCGCGCGAGUCAUUGGGCAUAAUACUAAACCUAAAGGCGAAAUGAAAGUGAAAACGUGCUUAGCGCGCGUCUAGGGAAGAUGGGCUAGUUAAUUCUCGCCUCGCAUUCCCGGGGCGUCUUUUUUUCGUUUAUCGAAAAUGGGCGCACCUAGAGCGUGCGCGCUGGGACCCGAAAGAUGGUGAACUAUGCCUGGUCAGGACGAAGUCAGGGGAAACCCUGAUGGAGGUCCGUAGCGAUUCUGACGUGCAAAUCGAUCGUCGGAACUGGGUAUAGGGGCGAAAGACUAAUCGAACCAUCUAGUAGCUGGUUCCCUCCGAAGUUUCCCUCAGGAUAGCUGGCGCACACAGAUGCGAGUUUCAUCCGGUAAAGCGAAUGAUUAGAGGCAUUGGGGACGAAACGUCCUCAACCUAUUCUCAAACUUUAAAUGGGUGAGAUCUUCGGCUUUCUUAAAUUGCGCUAAGAUUGUGGAGCCUCUCGGGGCUCGCGUCCGGCGCUUCGAUUUUGAAGCCGCAAGUAUCGAAUCCGUGUGCCAAGUGGGCCAUUUUUGGUAAGCAGAACUGGCGAUGUGGGAUGAACCAAACGUAAAGUUAAAGCGCCUAAGUGGACGCUUAUUAGAUACCAUGAAAGGCGUUGGUAACUUAAGACAGCAGGACGGUGGCCAUGGAA
rnacentral:rRNA from 1 species